GUAGGUGAACCUGCGGAAGGAUCAUUACCGAGUGAGGGUCUCCGGCCCAACCUCCCACCCCAUGUGUACCGACCCUGUUGCCUUGGCGGGCACCCCCUCCCCGGGCGGAGCCCGUCAGAGGACCCAACAAAUUCAGUAAACCGAGUCUGAGUGACACGAAAUGAACAAAACUUUCAACAACGGAUCUCUUGGUUCUG
rnacentral:misc_RNA from 1 species